rnacentral:rRNA from 1 species
GAUGAACGCUAGCUACAGGCUUAACACAUGCAAGUCGAGGGGAAACGGCAUCGAAAGCUUGCUUUUGAUGGGUGUCGACCGGCGCACGGGUGAGUAACGCGUAUCCAACCUGCCCAUCACUUGGAAAUAACCUUGCGAAAGUAAGACUAAUGCCCAAUGACAUCCCACGAAGGCAUCCGAAUGGGAUUAAAGAUUUAUCGGUGAUGGAUGGGGAUGCGUCUGAUUAGCUUGUUGGCGGGGUGACGGCCCACCAAGGCAACGAUCAGUAGGGGUUCUGAGAGGAAGGUCCCCCACAUUGGAACUGAGACACGGUCCAAACUCCUACGGGAGGCAGCAGUGAGGAAUAUUGGUCAAUGGGCGAGAGCCUGAACCAGCCAAGUAGCGUGCAGGAUGACGGCCCUAUGGGUUGUAAACUGCUUUUAUAAGGGAAUAAAGUGGGUCACGUGUGACUUUUUGCAUGUACCUUAUGAAUAAGGACCGGCUAAUUCCGUG